rnacentral:rRNA from 1 species
GAUGAACGCUAGCGGCAGGCCUAACACAUGCAAGUCGAGGGGUAACUAGAGUGAUAGCAAUAUUACUUUGGCUAGACCGGCGCACGGGUGCGUAACACGUAUGCAACCUACCUUAUACUGGGGAAUAACUUCGAGAAAUCGGCGCUAAUACCCCAUAACAUUGCGAAGAGGCAUCUCUUUGCAAUUAAAGCUCCGGCGGUAUAAGAUGGGCAUGCGUCCAAUUAGCUAGUUGGUGAGGUAACGGCUCACCAAGGCUACGAUUGGUAGGGGUUCUGAGAGGAUGCUCCCCCACACUGGUACUGAGACACGGACCAGACGCCUACGGGAGGCAGCAGUGAGGAAUAUUGCGCAAUGGACGAAAGUCUGACGCAGCCAUGCCGCGUGCAGGAUGACGGCCCCAUGGGUUGUAAACUGCUUUUGUACGGGAAUAAACCCUUCUACGUGUAGGAGGCUGAAGGUACCGUAAGAAUAAGCACCGGCUAACUCCGUGCCAGCCGCCGCAGUAAGAC